AUGGCCAUAUCAUGUUGAAUCAUUGGUUCUCAUAUGAUCACCAAAGUUAAGCAAUUGAGUUUGAUCAGUACCUAGAUGGGUGACCACUUGGGAAUAGCAGGUGCUGUAAG